rnacentral:rRNA from 1 species
AGUGAACGCUGGCGGUAGGCCUAACACAUGCAAGUCGAACGGCAGCACAGUAAGCGCUUUCUCUUACGGUUGGCGAGUGGCGGACGGGUGAGGAAUACAUCGGAAUCUACUUUUUCGUGGGUGAUAACGUGGGGAAACUUACGCUAAUACCGCAUACGACCUACGGGUGAAAGCAGGGGAUCUUCGGACCUUGCGCGAUUGAAUGAGCCGAUGUCGGAUUAGCUAGUUGGCGGGGUAAGGGCACACCAAGGCGACGAUGCGUAGCUGGUCUGAGAGGAUGAUCAGCCACACUGGAACUGAGACACGGUCCAGACUCCUACGGGAGGCAGCAGUGGGGAAUAUUCGACAAUGGGCGCAAGCCUGACCCAGCCAUACCGCGUGGGUGAAGAAGGCCUUCGGGUUGUAAAGCCCUUUUGUUGGGAAAGAAAAGCAGCAGGUUAAUACCCGGCCGUUUUGACGGUACCCAAAGAAUAAGCACCGGCUAACUUCGUG